UAUACACACUCUGCAUUAUAUACACAGAGUGUGUGUAUAUAAUGCAGAGUGUGUGUUUGUAUGAGUGUGUGUGUGUAUAUAAUGCAGAGUGUGUGUUUGUAUGAGUGUGUGUGUGUAUAUAAUGCAGAGUGUGUGUUUGUAUGAGUGUGUGUAUAUAAUGCAGAUUGUUUGUAUGAGUGUGUGUAUAUAUAAUGCAGAGUGUUUGUUUGUAUGAGUGUGUGUGUAUAUAAUUAUAAAAAUCACAGAAUUUCAUAGCCCCAAGUUUUACCCUCGACUUAUCCAAGAGGCACAGCAUAUUUCACAAUUGUUGGUCACAAAACUGCACUCGACUUAUACAUGAGAUCGACUUAUACACGAGUAUAUACGGUAAAUC